GAGGUUGUGGCUCAGUGGUAGAGCGCUUGCCUAGCACGCAUGAGACACUGGGUUUGAUCCUCAGCACCACA
rnacentral:tRNA from 1 species